rnacentral:rRNA from 1 species
UUGAACGCUGGCGGCAGGCCUAACACAUGCAAGUCGAGCGGUAGCACAGAGAGCUUGCUCUCGGGUGACGAGCGGCGGACGGGUGAGUAAUGUCUGGGAAACUGCCUGAUGGAGGGGGAUAACUACUGGAAACGGUAGCUAAUACCGCAUAACGUCGCAAGACCAAAGUGGGGGACCUUCGGGCCUCAUGCCAUCAGAUGUGCCCAGAUGGGAUUAGCUAGUAGGUGGGGUAAUGGCUCACCUAGGCGACGAUCCCUAGCUGGUCUGAGAGGAUGACCAGCCACACUGGAACUGAGACACGGUCCAGACUCCUACGGGAGGCAGCAGUGGGGAAUAUUGCACAAUGGGCGCAAGCCUGAUGCAGCCAUGCCGCGUGUGUGAAGAAGGCCUUCGGGUUGUAAAGCACUUUCAGCGGGGAGGAAGGCGAUAAGGUUAAUAACCUUGUCGAUUGACGUUACCCGCAGAAGAAGCACCGGCUAACUCCGUGCCAGCAGCCGCGGUAAUACGGAGGGUGCAAGCGUUAAUCGGAAUUACUGGGCGUAAAGCGCACGCAGGCGGUCUGUCAAGUCGGAUGUGAAAUCCCCGGGCUCAACCUGGGAACUGCAUUCGAAACUGGCAGGCUAGAGUCUUGUAGAGGGGGGUAGAAUUCCAGGUGUAGCGGUGAAAUGCGUAGAGAUCUGGAGGAAUACCGGUGGCGAAGGCGGCCCCCUGGACAAAGACUGACGCUCAGGUGCGAAAGCGUGGGGAGCAAACAGGAUUAGAUACCCUGGUAGUCCACGCCGUAAACGAUGUCGAUUUGGAGGUUGUGCCCUUGAGGCGUGGCUUCCGGAGCUAACGCGUUAAAUCGACCGCCUGGGGAGUACGGCCGCAAGGUUAAAACUCAAAUGAAUUGACGGGGGCCCGCACAAGCGGUGGAGCAUGUGGUUUAAUUCGAUGCAACGCGAAGAACCUUACCUGGUCUUGACAUCCACAGAACUUUCCAGAGAUGGAUUGGUGCCUUCGGGAACUGUGAGACAGGUGCUGCAUGGCUGUCGUCAGCUCGUGUUGUGAAAUGUUGGGUUAAGUCCCGCAACGAGCGCAACCUUUAUCCUUUGUUGCCAGCGGUUAGGCCGGGAACUCAAAGGAGACUGCCAGUGAUAAACUGGAGGAAGGUGGGGAUGACGUCAAGUCAUCAUGGCCCUUACGACCAGGGCUACACACGUGCUACAAUGGCAUAUACAAAGAGAAGCGACCUCGCGAGAGCAAGCGGACCUCAUAAAGUAUGUCGUAGUCCGGAUUGGAGUCUGCAACUCGACUCCAUGAAGUCGGAAUCGCUAGUAAUCGUAGAUCAGAAUGCUACGGUGAAUACGUUCCCGGGCCUUGUACACACCGCCCGUCACACCAUGGGAGUGGGUUGCAAAAGAAGUAGGUAGCUUAACCUUCGGGAGGGCGCUUACCACUUUGUGAUUCAUGACUGGGGUG